rnacentral:snRNA from 1 species
CUAAGAUGAGCUCAACGAGAA